CCACCAUAUUACUCUCCUUCUCC
rnacentral:siRNA from 1 species